GCCUCCAGACUUGUUAUGGCAGGUGAACAGUUCAUCCCACAUGUUCAACUUUCUCACAGGGUUUUCCAUCAUGCUUACUUCUAUUUUGUUUAUCAUCAUUGUUUUAAAAAAUAACCCUUUAUCAAAGGACAUCUUCUCUAAAAGUUAAAGCAGAAAGUGUUGAAAAAGCAGGCACCUGGAUGGCACUACCCGGGCCACCAGCUGCAAGUGCCCUUCACCUAUCUUUUGUUCACUUCUGUAUUUGGAUCACAGGUUAACACUCUCAGCUCUGAGAGAGAAGCAAAAACUUCUGUGUCAUUUAUAAAGUUUAAACAACUAGGAAAUAACCUUUACAGCACUAUAGUAAAGAAUUUGCAUAACAGUGUGGUGGUGGCCAUCAAAGAAACCAAAGAGCACAAGAAGACUCUCAGCUCUUUCACAUUUUCUCCUGUGAUCAAAUUGGAGUAAGAAGAGUUGUCUCCUUCACCAAGACCCACAGGUUUUCCCAGAAUUCUGAAUCAUGUUGAAGAAAUACCCUUUACGACUAUGAAAUGUAACUUUAGAGACAACCAUAUUGUGGCUUCCAUAACUAAUCUUUAUUUUACUUAAGUGAGAGCUUGCUCUUCAAUCACUCCUACCAACCCCAUUAAAAUUUGUUUUGCUAUA